rnacentral:lncRNA from 1 species
UGGAACUUCCACAGAGAAGACCUCAAAGGCAGAGCUCAUAGCCCUCCUUGAAAGUCACGACACAUUUGCGAUGGACCUGGAGCGUCAGCAGCUGGCCCUGGGUGUGCUACAGCAGCGAGCGCUAAGCAUGCUGCAAGAUGGAGCUCUCCCUGGCCCCAAGGAAGAGGUGCCCACCCUUCAGGAAAUCACUGCGCUGCAAGAUCAGUGUCUCAAGUAAUUACACACCUGCUUUGCUCACUAUUACAAGGGGCCUUAACUCGGGGACAUAUGAGGUGCUCGGGCAUUGGGGGCACUCCAUCGCGCGGCUUCUACGGCCGGGUUUUAGUAACUCUUCCCUUCUUUGUUAGACAAGUACAUAUUUGAUAACAGAGCUAGUAUGCAGGAGACCCAGGAGAGAGGGUACCCACAGUUGGCAAAGCACCUAUCCCACAAACACGAUGAUCCAAGUUUGAGCUUCAGCACCCAUGGUUAAAAACAAAAGGGAAGAAGCUGAACACGAUAGCGCAUGCUUAUAACGCCAGCGACAGAGAUACAGAGAUCUCUGCAGCUUGAGGGCGGGGCGGCUUAGACUGCGUCAUAGAAAACAAAACAAAGCAAAACAAAACAAAACAAAAUAAAACAAAAC